UACGUAGGGGGCGAGCGUUGUCCGGAUUUAUUGGGCGUAAAGAGCUCGUAGGCGGUUUGGUAAGUCGGGUGUGAAAUCUCCACGCUCAACGUGGAGGGGCCACUCGAUACUGCCAUGACUCGAGUCCGGUAGAGGAGUGUGGAAUUCCCGGUGUAGCGGUGAAAUGCGCAGAUAUCGGGAGGAACACCGGUGGCGAAGGCGGUUCUCUGGGCCUGUACUGACGCUGAGGAGCGAAAGCGUGGGGAGCGAACAGG
rnacentral:rRNA from 1 species